rnacentral:lncRNA from 1 species
CCACCCCUCUCUGAUCAGAAAUCAGUUUCCUGAUUGCCCUCUGAAACUUAGUAUUAGAAUCUAGAAGACACUGUUGGCCACAAACGCACGUCACAGUAGCAAACGCUGGAUUAAUUUUAUUUUUGAUGAAGGAAUUCCUGAAGAACCAAAGUGCAUGGAUGCAACGUUUUGCAGCCUUCUGCACAGUGAAAUACCUUAGCAUAGCAUCAAACCACGGCAGCUUGUCACUCAGAUCUGGGAUUCAUGGUUAUCUGGAACUGACUCAGAUCCCAAAAUGCAAACAGUAUUUUGAAACACCAAAAAAUUCCAAAAAGCUUUUAAGAUAGGUCCCAUUCUCAAACUCACUCAAACUCAUCUACGGAGAAAAGAAUCCAUGGCUACGGGAGCUGACAACAAAAUUAAUUGCUUUCAAUUUUUAUAAAAGUUCUCAAGGAACUUCAAGAGCUGAUGCAGGAUUUUGACACGCUAAGAUCUCCCAGAAAGUAUGCCAUUAAACUGAAGAAGAAGAAAAACAAGAAACCUCAUAGAGGUGAGACUAGAAGCUGAGUGUGUACAUUUUACCACCGCAGUUUGCUGGUCACUUAUGGUCAGUUGGUUCACAUACAAACCAC